GAUGAACGCUGGCGGCGUGCCUAAUACAUGCAAGUCGAGCGAACAGACGAGGAGCUUGCUCCUCUGACGUUAGCGGCGGACGGGUGAGUAACACGUGGAUAACCUACCUAUAAGACUGGGAUAACUUCGGGAAACCGGAGCUAAUACCGGAUAAUAUAUUGAACCGCAUGGUUCAAUAGUGAAAGACGGUUUUGCUGUCACUUAUAGAUGGAUCCGCGCCGCAUUAGCUAGUUGGUAAGGUAACGGCUUACCAAGGCAACGAUGCGUAGCCGACCUGAGAGGGGGAUCGGCCACACUGGAACUGAGACACGGUCCAGCCUCCUACGGGGGGCAGCAGUAGGGAAUCUUCCGAAAGGGGCGAAAGCCUAAAGGAGCAACGCCGGGUGAGUGAUGAAGGGCUUGGGAUCGUAAAACCCUUUUAUUAGGGAAAAAAAAAUGUGAAAGUAACCAGGCACGUCUGGACGGUACCAAAGCAGAAAGCCACGGCUAACUACGG
rnacentral:rRNA from 1 species